rnacentral:rRNA from 1 species
GACGAACGCUGGCGGCGUGCCUAACACAUGCAAGUCGAGCGAGUGAAUCUCCUUCGGGAGUGAAGCUAGCGGCGGACGGGUGAGUAACACGUGGGCAACCUGCCUCAUAGAGGGGAAUAGCCUUCCGAAAGGAAGAUUAAUACCGCAUAAGAUUGUAGCUUCGCAUGAAGUAGCAAUUAAAGGAGCAAUCCGCUAUGAGAUGGGCCCGCGGCGCAUUAGCUAGUUGGUGAGGUAACGGCUCACCAAGGCGACGAUGCGUAGCCGACCUGAGAGGGUGAUCGGCCACAUUCCGGGACUGAGACACGGCCCAGAUUCCUACGGGAGGCAGCAGUGGGGAAUAUUGGGCAAUGGGGGAAACCCUGACCCAGCGACGCCGCGUGGGUGAAGAAAUCCUUCGGGAUGUAAAGCCCUGUUGUAUGGGAAGAGCGGAAGACGGUACCAUACGAGGAAGCCCCGGAAACUACGUG